GCGGAAUUCACGUUUAUAGAGAUAAAUAGCUUCUACUCCCCAAAAUUUAUCAUAUUAUUAAAACAAACGAUUUCUUUAAUUAGAAAAACUCGCUGAAGCAGCUAUUCUCAUCAAAGCUUAUUUGUUCUCGAUAUAGAGGAGGUACCUCAACACGGGGCUGCUUCGGGAUGAAGUGCAAAGGGUUAAGGCAAAAGAGCGGUUUGCUCCUUAAAUCAAGGCAGGCAGGGUCAUCGC